rnacentral:rRNA from 1 species
GACGAACGCUGGCGGCGUGCUUAACACAUGCAAGUCGAACGGAAAGGCCCUGCUUUUGUGGGGUGCUCGAGUGGCGAACGGGUGAGUAACACGUGAGUAACCUGCCCUUGACUUUGGGAUAACUUCAGGAAACUGGGGCUAAUACCGGAUAGGAGCUCCUGCUGCAUGGUGGGGGUUGGAAAGUUUCGGCGGUUGGGGAUGGACUCGCGGCUUAUCAGCUUGUUGGUGGGGUAGUGGCUUACCAAGGCUUUGACGGGUAGCCGGCCUGAGAGGGUGACCGGCCACAUUGGGACUGAGAUACGGCCCAGACUCCUACGGGAGGCAGCAGUGGGGAAUAUUGCUCAAUGGGCGGAAGCCUGGUGCAGCAACGCCGCGUGCGGGAUGACGGCCUUCGGGUUGUAAACCGCUUUCGCCUGUGACGAAGCGUGAGUGACGGUAAUGGGUAAAGAAGCACCGGCUAACUACGUG